rnacentral:rRNA from 1 species
AGUAAAAGUCGUAACAAGGUCUCCGUAGGUGAACCUGCGGAGGGAUCAUUACAAGUGACCCCGGUCUAACCACCGGGAUGCUCAUAACCCUUUGUUGUCCGACUCUGUUGCCUCCGGGGCGACCCUGCCUUCGGGCGGGGGCUCCGGGUGGACACUUCAAACUCUUGCGUAACUUUGCAGUCUGAGUAAACUUAAUUAAUAAAUUAAAACUUUUAACAACGGAUCUCUUGGUUCUGGCAUCGAUGAGGAACGCAGCGAAAUGCGAUAAGUAAUGUGAAUUGCAGAAUUCAGUGAAUCAUCGAAUCUUUGAACGCACAUUGCGCCCCCUGGUAUUCCGGGGGGCAUGCCUGUUCGAGCGUCAUUUCACCACUCAAGCCUCGCUUGGUAUUGGGCGACGCGGUCCGCCGCGUGCCUCAAAUCGACCGGCUGGGUCUUCUGUCCCCUAAGCGUUGUGGAAACUAUUCGCUAAAGGGUGCUCGGGAGGCUACGCCGUAAAACAAACCCAUUUCUAAGGUUGACCUCGGAUCAGGUAGGGAUACCCGCUAAACUUAAGCAUAUCAAUAAGCGGAGGAAAAGAAACCAACAGGGAUUGCCCCAGUAACG